AUAUAUCUAACAGAGAGGGGACGCGUGUUUGUAUUACAUGGGACCUGUCUGAGAGCGCCGACUUACACAUAAUGACGGCUUGUAAAUGAUGACUUAAGCGGGGCUAUUCUAAUGGAUUUAUUAUGAGAGGAAAUUGGGCCAUGACGGCUUACGCGAAUUGACGAGUUAGACGAUGACGACUUAUGCGAGUUUUACUGUAUUAUAAUACAAUUUUCCUUGAAUUACAUGCUGAUUUUUUUUAUUUUACAUAAAUGUUCCAGUCUAUACCUUUUGAACUAGAAGAGGGUUGCAAGGCUUUUGGGGAGUGGAAGAAAGCGACAAGGUGGAUGGUAACGCGCCUCUUUACACCACAGGAGCUCGCAACUUCAAAUAUAACCGGAAGAAAUGGGAAAGAACGCCUGAAUGUACUGAAGGUGGAGGCAAUCGUUUCCUUCAUCUCUGAAAAGUACGAGAUGGAGAAAAACACGGUACGAUAUAUGAUCGGGGAGAAAUGCCGAGAACUCAACAGAUAUGAGAGACGGAAGUAAAUGUGUGAGUAGUAGUGAGUGUGUGAAGAGUAGUAGAGAGAGUCAAU